rnacentral:tRNA from 2 species
GCCGGUGUAGCUCAGGGGUAGAGCAGCGGUUUUGUAAACCGCCGGCCGGGGGUUCGAAUCCCUUCACCGGCU